UACGAAGGGGGCUAGCGUUGCUCGGAAUUACUGGGCGUAAAGCGCACGUAGGCGGCUUUCUAAGUCGGGGGUGAAAUCCUGGAGCUCAACUCCAGAACUGCCUUCGAUACUGGAGAGCUUGAGUCCGGGAGAGGUGAGUGGAACUGCGAGUGUAGAGGUGAAAUUCGUAGAUAUUCGCAAGAACACCAGUGGCGAAGGCGGCUCACUGGCCCAUUACUGACGCUGAGGCACGAAAGCGUGGGGAGCAAACAGG
rnacentral:rRNA from 1 species